UGAGGAAUAUUGGUCAAUGGGCGAGAGCCUGAACCAGCCAAGUAGCGUGCAGGAUGACGGCCCUAUGGGUUGUAAACUGCUUUUAUGUGGGGAUAAAGUGCGUGACGUGUCAUGCAUUGCAGGUACCACAUGAAUAAGGACCGGCUAAUUCCGUGCCAGCAGCCGCGGUAAUACGGAAGGUCCGGGCGUUAUCCGGAUUUAUUGGGUUUAAAGGGAGCGUAGGCUGUCUAUUAAGCGUGUUGUGAAAUUUACCGGCUCAACCGGUGGCUUGCAGCGCGAACUGGUCGACUUGAGAAUGCAGGAAGUAGGCGGAAUUCAUGGUGUAGCGGUGAAAUGCUUAGAUAUCAUGACGAACUCCGAUUGCGCAGGCAGCUUACUGUAGCAUAACUGACGCUGAUGCUCGAAAGUGCGGGUAUCAAACAGG
rnacentral:rRNA from 1 species